rnacentral:rRNA from 1 species
GACGAACGCUGGCGGCGUGCUUAACACAUGCAAGUCGAGCGGAAAGGCCACUUCGGUGGUACUCGAGCGGCGAACAGGUGAGUAACACGUGAGUAAUCUGCCCCCGGCUUUGGGAUAGCCACCGGAAACGGUGAUUAAUACCGGAUACGACCACUUCUCGCAUGGGAUGGUGGUGGAAAGUUUUUUCGGCCAGGGAUGUGCUCGCGGCCUAUCAGCUUGAUGGUGAGGUAAUGGCUCACCAUGGCUUCGACGGGUAGCCGGCCUGAGAGGGUGACCGGUCACACUGGGACUGAGACAGGGCCCAGACGCCUACGGGAGGCAGCAGUGGGGAAUAUUGGACAAUGGGCGGAAGCCUGAUCCAGCAACGCCGCGUGAGGGAUGACGGCCUUCGGGUUGUAAACCUCUUUCAGCAGGGACGAAGCGCAAGUGACGGUACCUGCAGAAGAAGCACCGGCCAACUACGUGCCAGCCGCCGCGGUAA